rnacentral:rRNA from 1 species
AACCUUACCUGGCCUUGACAUACUAAGAACUUUCCAGAGAUGGAUUGGUGCCUUCGGGAACUUAGAUACAGGUGCUGCAUGGCUGUCGUCAGCUCGUGUCGUGAGAUGUUGGGUUAAGUCCCGCAACGAGCGCAACCCUUUUCCUAUUUGCCAGCGGGUUAAGCCGGGAACUUUUAAGGAUACUGCCAGUGACAAACUGGAGGAAGGCGGGGACGACGUCAAGUCAUCAUGGCCCUUACGGCCAGGGCUACACACGUGCUACAAUGGUCGGUACAAAGGGUUGCUACCUCGCGAGAGGAUGCUAAUCUCAAAAAGCCGAUCGUAGUCCGGAUCGCAGUCUGCAACUCGACUGCGUGAAGUCGGAAUCGCUAGUAAUCGCGGAUCAGAAUGCCGCGGUGAAUACGUUCCCGGGCCUUGUACACACCGCCCGUCACACCGUGGGAGUUUGUUGCACCAGAAGUAGGUAGUCUAACCGCAAGGAGGACGCUUACCACGGUGUGGCCGAUGACUGGGGUGAAGUCGUAACAAGGUAGGCGUAGAUGA